UCGCCCCCUGCAUAAAUAGGGGGUAACGCCUGCCCAGUGAAAAUUAAACGGCCGCAGUAUCCUGACUGUGCAAAGGUAGCAUAAUAAUUUGUCUCUUAAUUCGAGGCUGGUAUGAAUGGUGAAACGUGGUGGCCGCUGUGUCCUAAGCUAAUUUUAAUUUAAUAUUUAAGUUAAAAAGCUUAAAUGUACAUGCAGGACGAGAAGACCCCGUAGAUCUUUACAUUGAAUUUACAAAUAGCCUUAGAAGCCCCAUUAGUAGCAAAUUAACAUGUUUAGUUGGGGUGACGCGAAGUAAUAAACACUUCUUUUAACACGAUAAUUUAAGGAUCUAUGACCCGGUCGGCCGAUUAUAAAAUUAAGUUACCUCGGGGAUAACAGCGUAAUUUACCUUUAGAGUUCUUAUCAAAAGGUAAGUUUGCGACCUCGAUGUUGGAUUAAGGGCCCUAAUACGAGUAGCAAUGUAUUUAGGGGGUCUGUUCGACCUUUAAACCCUUACAU
rnacentral:rRNA from 1 species